UCUAGAACUACUCUAUCCCUGCCUGAUCUUUAAGUGAGGGGACAUAUGGCCUGGGGGCUCUGACUGAAGAAAGGAAUGCAGCACUCAUGAUCCUGUUGAAUAGAGAUGACUUCACAUCUAUCCUUGGAGGUAAUGACUAAGUCUGUCCUCUCUCUUAUCAACACAUUCAACCACCCUCUUCAUAUCUGUCCAAAAGAGGUAACGAAGGAGAGCAAGUAAAACAUUCAAUAGUGGAGACCAGAGAGAGAGAGAAAGGUUAACAGGAAGAGGGAAGGAAAGGAAUACAGAGAGGAACAGACAAAACAAACCAGGAUCUCAGAAUGAGCUGAAGAUCAGUGUCCCAAGUGUGACAGGGUAAACUCCCAAGAAGGUCCAUUGAGAGCCUCAAACCAUGUGUAAGUCCGUCUUUCUCUGUCACAGCUCCUGGGAAGUGACCUGAGCAGAAGAAAGAGCCCAGAUAAAAGAAGGGGAAGAGAAACACAGAAGAGCUCCUCACAGGUGCCCACCAGCCCUCCCCUGCAGGGGAAGGAAGGUAGUGGUCCCAGCUCAGCUGAUUCUCCCCUUCCCCCAACUAGGACCACAUCAUGGGAGCUGAGCUUCCUCAGAGCCUUGCUGCUUCUAAGAUCGAGGGAAUAUCUUGCCUUCCAGCCCAUGGAGGAAGGCCCAGCAAUGACAGAGCCCUAUGAGAAAAGAGUGCCAGCCUCCAGACCUCGAGAGAGAAUUCAUUUGCUUCCAACCUGCCUCCCCCUGAGCAUCAACACUGCAUUGAACCUGGAGGGAGGGAAUCUCCCAAAGGCUGUCAUCUGCGUAGCCCCUGUGCUCACCCUGGCCUACCCUUUCAUGACCUCCUCAAAAUGAGUUCUGUGUGUUUGUCCAGAAAAGA
rnacentral:lncRNA from 1 species